CGCCUCCCCGCCCUCCUGGGCUCGCAGUCAGCCAGGGAGCCAGUGAACGAGGCCCCGAAAAGUGAGAUGUCGUUCCAGAGAGCGCUAGGAGCUGAGAAGGAAAAUGAAAAAGGACUAAUGGGCCAAAGCGUGGGGACAAGGGAGAUGGGUCGUCCCGGGCGGCUUCGCUAAGGGAUGACUUUAGAGCUGAGACCUCAGUGAUAAGGAGAUGGCCCGGGAAGAAUCUGCAGGAAAGGUUCCAAAAGGAACAAGUGCAAAGGCCCAGCCUCGAGUCGUUGCCUGGAGCGAGGUUGAUCCACAGUUGAAAACACUGAAUUGAGGACCAAGCCCCACUGGGAAAAGCCAGAUUUCCAGUCCAGUUCUGUGCGAUCCAUAGCCCCAAGGCCUCCUACCACAUUGCCUCUCAACACGGAAUCUCUGGCCCCUGGGAAUUUAUCUUUUGGACUCAACAGAAGUCAAGAGCUCUUUGGAGAAUGAUGCUCUAUAACAUUAUUUCUAAUAGUGAAAGUGGGAAACGCAACAAAGCCCACCUACAGGAGGAUAGCUAAGAAAAUCGUGGCCCACCUCACAUGGACUCUCUGCAGUAGUUGAAAAUGCUAAUUAUAUAAAGAUUAUGGAAAAGUGGGGAAAGGCCAAUGAUAAUACAUUACGUUUAAAAAGCCCUGUGCAAAAUGGUUUGUACACCUUCAUUACAAUUGAGUCAACAUAUGGCCAUGAGUAGGGAGAAUGUACAAAUGAAAAUACUUGUCAGAUGGGUACUGGGCUUAUCAGGGUGUUCAUUUCGGUGGUCACAUUAUUUAAAUGUCCAAUCGCUAUGCUGUACACCUGAAACUAAUGUAAUACAUGUCAACUGUAAUUGAAAAAAAUUAUUUUUAAUUUUUUUAAUGAAAAUAUUUGUGUAUUUGGUGGGGUUAUUUUACCCAUUUUCAAAAUUAUACAGUUGUUAAUGUUAUCCUA